rnacentral:rRNA from 1 species
CAGGCUCUGAGUAUGGAUGCGGUAGGCGGAAUGUGUACGUGUAACGGUUGAAAGGCAUAGAUAUUACACAGCACACCGAUUUGCGUCAGGCAUGCUUACCAAACCAGCACGGACGCUGAAGCACGAAAGCGUGGGGAGCGAACAGGAUUAGAUACCCUGGUAGUCCACGCCGUAAACUUUUGCUCACUCACUGUUGACGAUAGACAGUCAGCGACCAAGGGAAACCGAUAAGUGAGCCACGCGGGGAGUACGACCGCAAGGGUGAAACUCCAAGGAAUUGACGGGGGCCCGCACAAACGGUGGAACACGUGGGAUAAUUCGAUGAUACGCGAGGAACCUUACCUGGGCUUAAAUGUGAAGUGCAUUGAUUGGAUACAAUCUAUUUCUUUCGGGACCCUUUACAAGAUGCUGCAUGGUUGUCGUCAGCUCGUGCCGCUGAGGUGUCGGGUUAAGUCCCAUAACGAGCGCAACCCCUAUUGUUAGUUACGCAAGCGCGUAAAGGCGGGGAUUUUAGUGAAACUGCCGUUGUAAUACGCACGUAGGAAGGUGGUGACGACAUCAAAUCAGCACGGCCUUUAUGUCACAGGGCUAUCACACGUGUUACAAUGGCCGGUAUAGCGGGCAGCUAGGCAGCGAUGUCAUGCUAAUCCAGUAAGCCGGUCCCAGUUC